CAGAAAUUCUACCUUGUCUCUCUCGCCUUCUCUCAAUUUCACAUUCACACAAACUCAUCGCACUCCUCUUCUCUUCUCUCCCACACACAUAUAAAACAAACAAAACCCUAUUCUCUCCAUUUUCUUCCUCAUUUUCCAACUCCGUGUGGCGGUUAUCAAAACGACCUCGUUUCAUUACCGUCUUCAACCUUCGCCUCGUUUUGUGUCCCUAG